UACGAAGGGGGCUAGCGUUGCUCGGAAUCACUGGGCGUAAAGGGUGCGUAGGCGGGUCUUUAAGUCAGAGGUGAAAUCCUGGAGCUCAACUCCAGAACUGCCUUUGAUACUGAAGAUCUUGAGUUCGGGAGAGGUGAGUGGAACUGCGAGUGUAGAGGUGAAAUUCGUAGAUAUUCGCAAGAACACCAGUGGCGAAGGCGGCUCACUGGCCCGAUACUGACGCUGAGGCACGAAAGCGUGGGGAGCAAACAGG
rnacentral:rRNA from 1 species